GGGAGAGGGGCAGAGGAUUCAGAUCCAGGCUUGAAUCCUCCUACUUUUCUUGGCGAAGCCCAACCUAACUCACGUGAGAGGUGGUGAAGGAAAAGGUGACAUCAAAGGAGUAAAAUUACAGGCCCUCCCACAGCAGACUCAACGGAGUUUCGCUGGAUGUUCCUUAAAUGGAUGGUUUGCACGGAUGACUUCCAAUCUAAGCAUCAGAGCCCCGGAAAGAAGGCCCCGGUUCUGGACUCAGAUGGGCAUGGAGACGACACCUGGUGAUAUUAAUUCAGCAAGACCCGGUCAGCCGCACACCAGUGAUUACAAAAGUGAAUAAUCCUCAUUCGGAUCUGGGCUGUCAGCAAAGACUGAGCAAAUGGCAGCACAGAGAAUGGGGUACCAGGCAAUCAAGCGUUGAGCCAGCCUUCUUAGCCUUGAUGCGCCCCCAGAAAGGCAGUUUCAGCAUUUUUCACAAAGGAGGUGCCCCAGGGAAAGUAAGUUGUGCCAGUCAAAACCGUUUAUGAGACGAGGUCUAAGUUUUGUUUUCUUAUGCAACUGGGAGCAUGUCUCACAUCACAUUUUCCCUUUCGCUGUAUUAAUGGAAGAUUAUAUUAUCACUUGGGUCUAAAAACAAAUACCUAACA